AAGUCGUAACAAGGUUUCCGUAGGUGAACCUGCGGAAGGAUCAUUAACACGUAUCCAAACGUUAAAACAACCCUGUGAACCUUCAGCGUGUUCUUGCAGGACAUCAAAACAGCAAUCCCGAGUAAAUCAGGCGCUAAAGAAUUACAGAUUUUGAUUUUGGGAAGUUCUGUGUGUACGUGGACGCUGCAAUUGAGCGCUAGAUAAAGCACCCUGGUACCCUAGAGCACUCCCCUGUCUGAAAGCGUCAGGGAUCAAUGUUCAGGGUGGCGCAGUCAACGAUCGCUGUAGGUCCACACGACCGGCAUCAUGGUGCCUGGACUUCUGUCCCACAGAUCGGUUAGAUCCCGGUCCUGAUGUCAAUUUAGCGAGGACUAAAAGCCUUGCACCAAAAACCGAACAACUGUUAACAAUGGAUAUCUUGGUUCUC
rnacentral:misc_RNA from 1 species